CAUGACUGGUCUGAUGCACUCGCUGAUGCUGGUGCCGUACGAAGUCGUUUGGAUCGUGGUGGAGGCUGGUGGAGCUAGCAAUGAGACCGAUUCGAUCCUCGCCAAGUCGGGACUCCAGACCAUUCACGUUGGAUUCAAGCAGCGGAUGCCGAAUUCUUGGGAGGGUCGUCAUCGAUUGGAGGGUCGGAUGAGGCUUCGUGCAUUGAGGAAAAUGGGUAUUCUCGAGACAUUCUGACUACGGUGCACAGAAGUAGAGCUGACUAUCCACAGCCUGAGGUUUAAAGUUGUUGAACCCUUGUGCAAUCUUAUUUUCGCCACAUGUUGACUUUGGAUUAAAAGUACUUGGUGCAAAUGCUAUGUCCAUUCCUGGCCUAUAUGGGUUUGUCCAGGUAGAGUACUCGUUUAAGUUUCGUUGAUUGAGGCUUAGUUGAAUAAACACAUAAAUACAUGCAUCCAUCUUAUAGAAAAACAUAAUUUUCUGAGAGUACAUAUUAAUCCUAAUAUAGUAACUAAAUGAAUAUUGCUUGCAGUUUUUACUUAUCUUUUUUUUAUUUUU